GGGCCAGUAGAUCAACGGUAGAUCGCUGCCUUCGCAAGGCAGAGGCUGGGGGUUCGAAUCCCCCCUGGUCCA
rnacentral:tRNA from 1 species